CUCUGUUCUUUCAAAUUUAUAUUUCUUAAAAUUUUCGAGAAAUCAAGUUUAUCACAUGUCCUCUAAAGUCAUUAGGCUCGAACAAUUUAGCUUAGCCUAACAAGCAGAUUAACUCAUGAAUCAAGAACUCGACAAGUUUUAAUUUGAGUUUUUAACGAAUAGACUGUCUAUUUUUUUUAGUAAGGACAAACUACAAAAUGCACACCAUGUGUUUGAUAUAUUAACAGUUUAUGUUCCAAAAGUUUUAUUCACGUUCUUAUAACAUGUUUUAAUGCAGGAGACGAGUUGGAGAAGCUUGCUUUAGAAGCCGGCUUUUCUUCUGCUAAACAUUUUGAGGUUGGUGGAGGAAUCAUGGGAGUUCAGUGAGUAUAAAUAGGCAGGU
rnacentral:lncRNA from 1 species